UAAAAAUCUCAUUCAGUAAGUAAAAUAUUUCUUCACUGUAAACUCGCUCUAUUUUCAGCUCAAUCAAUACGCAUUCGUAACUCUCAAACCCUGCUCAAUAGUGUUCCAUUUUCUCAACAUCAAUCACCAAAAAAAUAGGGACUACGUUUAAAAUUGCGUUCUGCGCAUUAUAUAAAAAUGAGCACAUCUGAAAACGGCACAGAUUUAUCCACUGAUGAUAUUGGCACCAUUGAGGAAAUUCCUGAGGACACAAUUUUGUAUCGACAAACUUCCAUUAACCUUGUGCCUUUCAUUGGCCAAAGGUUUGUUUCUCAAGAUGCUGCUUAUGAGUUCUACUGUAGCUUUGCUAAGCAGUGCGGCUUCUCAAUUCGUCGUCAUCGUACCCGUGGUAAAGAUGGUGUUGGGAGAGGGAUUACAAGACGGGAUUUUACCUGCCACCGCGGUGGAUUCGCACAAAUAAAACCAUCGGAGGAUGGGAAGGUACAAAGAAACCGCAAGUCAUCCCGUUGUGGAUGUCAAGCAUAUAUGAGAAUUGUGAAACGGGCAGAUUUUGAUGUUCCUGAGUGGCGUAUCACGGGUUUCAGUAACAUUCACAAUCACGAGAUCUCGAGGUCAAACAGUGUUCAACUUCAACUGCUUCCUGAUUACUGCACCAUGUCAUGUGAUGACAAAAGUCGUAUAUGUAUGUUUGCAAAAGCUGGGAUGUCAGUAAGACAGAUGUUAAGGCUGAUGGAGUUAGAAAAAGGCGUGAAACUUGGUUGUUUACCUUUCACGGAAAUUGAUGUGCGGAAUUUACUUCAGUCUUUCAGUAAUGCUGACCGAGAUAAUGACGCUAUUGAUCUUCUUAAAAUGUGUAAGGAUAAAAAGGAUAAAGAUCCAAACUUUAAAUACAAUUUCAAGAUUGAUGCCAACAGCCGUCUUGACCACAUUUCAUGGUCCUAUGGUUCAUCGGUUCAAUCUUUUGAGUCUUUUGGAGAUGUUGUGCUAUUUGACACAACCCACAGGUUGGAUGCUUAUGAUAUGCAUCUUGGAAUUUGGCUCGGUGUUGACAACUAUGGAACAAAUUGCUUUUUUGGUUGUGUGCUUCUACGUGAUGAGAAUAUGCAGUCAUUCUGUUGGGCGUUAAAGACAUUUUUAGGAUUCAUGAAUGGAAAGGCUCCUGAAACAAUAUUAACUGACCAAAACAUGUGGCUCAAGGAAGCAAUUGCUAUUGAAAUGCCUAGGACAAAGCAUGCCUUCUGCAUUUGGCAUAUUAGUUCAAAGUUUUCAGACUGGUUUUCAGUACUGCUUGGCUCACAAUAUGAUCUCUGGAAAUCUGAAUUUCAUGGACUCUUUAAUUUGCACUCAGUUGAUGAAUUUGAAUUAAGAUGGAGGGAGAUGGUUGAUACGUAUGGACUUCAUGGAAACAAGCACAUUGUCAGCUUGUAUGCUUUACGCACAUUCUGGGCACUGCCAUUCUUAAGGUGCUUCUUCUUUGCAGGAAUGACAAGUACCUUUCAGCCAGAGUCGAUAAAAUCUUUCAUCCAACGGUUUCUAAGUGCACAGUCUGUUCUUGAAAACUUUGUGGAGCAGGUAGCGGCAUUUAUAGAUGCUAAAGACCAAGCUGCAUUAAAACAAAAAUUGAUUAGAAGCCAGAAAGUAUCUCUCAAAACAGGUUCACCUAUAGAAUCGCAUGCUGCCAGUGUUCUUACUCCAUAUGCAUUCACCAAGUUUCAAGAACAACUCGUCUUGGCCCCGCAAUAUGCAUCCAUAUUAGUAGAUGAAAGUUACUUCAUCGUAAGACACCACACUGAAAUGAAUGGUGGAUGUAAAGUCAUUUGGGUCCCGCAUGAUGAAUUUAUUAGCUGCAGUUGCCAUGAUUUUGAAUUUUCAGGAAUCAUUUGUAGACAUAUACUCCGUGUUCUAUCUACGAACAACUGUUUUCACAUCCCUUAUCAGUACCUACCCAUUCGUUGGCGUGAUUCCUUAAAUUACACAAAAUCUAUUCUUAAUCCUGCUUUGGGUCAACCCUCAGGAAAUGUUCAGAUGCUACAGUCAUUGGUUUCAAACUUAGUUUCUGAAACCAUGGAAACGGAUGAACGGUUAAACUUUGCUUGUGGUCAAAUUAACUUGGUGUUGACUCGUCUCAAGGAUUUUCCUCGGCCAUCUAAUAGUGUUAAUGAUGUAACUUAUAACAAUAGCCCGCCUGAUUCAUUGAUUCUUCCAGAAGUUGAGGAUUCUGAUAGUAUUGUCCAAAGUUUUACUGGGAAUCCUCAUGAAUCGUUAAAUAUGGGGAAUCCAAAGGAAAGGCGUCCAGAUGGCUUAAGAAACCGAAGGCGUUGCUCUGUGCCAUGUUGUGGGGAGUUCGGGCAUGAUUGUAAUGAGUGCCCGCUGAUGGAAGGUGAUGAUCUAAAUGGAGAUGGACUUGGGUUUUUAUAGGUCUCUGCUCGUAAAGAAGUGACAAGAUGGAUGAGUCGGGCCAGUUAUAUAAAGGGUCAAAACAGGAUGAGAUUAGGAGAGAAAAGUGGAUAACCUUGGCAUGGAAUGAGGACAUUAGGAGGACUAUUAGGGAGAUGAGUUAGGGAGAUCUAUGAUCUAUCAGAUGCCAAAGCGGGGCUGCCUCCUGGGGUGAAGUUCAGGAUUCAAUUUCUGGCAUAAGUGAGUUGCGAUUAUUUGGGGUAAUUUAGGAGUAGAGUAGAUAUGUUCAAACAUUCGAUACCUUAUAUGGAUGUUUAUCCUUGUUUUUGGAGGUACAAUUACUUUUUAUGUUCUAUACUUUUAUAUGUAGUUAAGAAUAUACACAUAAUUUUCGAUAUAACGAGUAAAAAAGAAAAAUUUGUGAUUAAA